rnacentral:lncRNA from 1 species
UGUCCAGAUGCAAACUGCUGGUGGUGGCAUGAACUCUGCCAAAGCAGCACCACCAUCUCCAUGCUAACCCCACUUAUUGGGGGUGGGGGGUGGGGGGCAGCAACCUGUGGACACUGGUCUCCAGGCCGCAGGUGAGGCUGGUCUAAGGAAGCAGGACGAUUCCUGAGCGAUGGCCUGCUGCCCUCCUCCAGUGAUUAAAGGGGAGGCCUGCAGGAGAAGAGGAGGAAAGGAAGAAGUCAUUAGAGGGUAUCCAGCUACACAAAGCCAACCCAAACCUCAACAUAAUUCCACAAAAGAGCUCCCCUCGAGCGUAGGCACCACCCAAAGGCACGGCGUGGAGGAAGGGAGAAUCUGGGUGGAACCUGCAUAAAGUUAAUUUGCUCAGGGCGGAGGGAAUCCUAAAUCUUACAAAAAUCGCACAAGCCCUUUCUGAAAGCUCUAAGGCGUGCUUGAAGACCAACAGGCCCCGCCGGAUGUGGGACAACACCCCCUUCCUCCCGCCUGCCUGUUUUCUGGGUUGGGGGAGCGCCCAGGCGGGGCAAAGGGGGAAGGCACAUUUCCAAGUGUCCGCUCCCGAGGUGCGGGCCUUGGGCCCAGCGCGCAACGCCGCUCGGCUUCUCCACCCACAGAGCGGCCGCCCCGCAGCGGGAAGCUUCUCCGCGUGACCAGGCGACCCGGCGCUGGACAUCUGCUUCUCCCCAACCUGGUGAGGCCGCGAUCGGCCCGGGAUCUCCGAUCCUAUCUCCUCCUGCCAGGCCCAGAAGACUGCCGGCAAACCGCCGCCCCCCGCCCCGCCCCCGCCGCCGCCCCCGCCGCUUCGGGAGAACCGGCCCCCUGCCCUCCCCAGGCUCGCGGCACAAAGGCGGACCUCGGAGCACAUCAAGGGGAGACGCAGCUCCCGACCCGAUGCAAGUUCAGCUGCAGCUCGUGCAAAGCAGCCAGGCAAAGCUCAGCCUUGAAGGUAGAAUGUGAAGGCAAGACUCGACCGCCAGGAAGCCUCGAUUCGGGGGCAUUCUCCGAAGUCGGAGGCCAGAAUGGAUUUCGGAUGGAGAGGCAACCCAGAGGCGAGCUCCGUGAGACUAGGCCGAAGGCCGGCCCCAGCCUUUCCGCUACGGCGGAAAUCUCCUAUCCUGGGGCAAACCAACUCCUAGAAAGCACGAAGUCGAGCCAAGAGAAAGCCGCACGCUAGUCACAGGCCGGGCGCGGGCAGAGCCCCCGCCCCGGGAAUCCAGGCGCCGCUCGCAUCCGGGCCACCUUUCUGGGCCCCCUGGUGACGGGGCAGGAGCGCCCCCAGCACCCGUUGCGGUCCUUGCUGCUCCCCAGAGCGGGCCAGGAGAGGGGCUCUGCGCUCCCCGCCCCACCCGGUAUCGCCUAGACGGGUCUCGGCCAUCACCCAGCUUCUUCGCUCAGGGGGCCGUGGUUCCCCUCGCAAGCAUGCCGGACUUUUCCCUUUGGGGGCGGUAGUCGGCUAUGCGGAUGGGGCCGCGGGUGUGGCCUUGGCUCGGUCGGAUGUGACCCGGUCUCCGGCUUCCAAAACUGGCAGCCUCUGCUGGGGGUGCGGUUCCACUCCUCUCCAACUCGCUUCCCUGUCUCACUGCGCCUUCGGGUUGGGCGAGGGGAUUCCUCGCUGGAGUUUGGAGUGCAAGAGCCCCCGGGGGGCCCCCGAAGGCAGUUUCCUCAGAGGAUCUCCCUCCCCCUGUACAUCUAAGUAAGCUGCGAACCCGCUUAGUUUUAGGAGUGAUUCCUAGAGACCGGCCGGGUGCCCCGCUGCGCCCCGAGAGGGAGGGAGGGGGCGCUGUGGCUCCGGCGCCAGGCCUGCCCGGGGACCUGGGAAGGUCUGCAGGCGCGCCCUCGGGCUCC